GGUGUAGCUCAGUGGUGCAGCACUUACUUAGUAUUUAUGAGGCCCUGGGUUCAACUCCUAGCACC
rnacentral:tRNA from 1 species